UUGGAGGGCAAGUCUGGUGCCAGCAGCCGCGGUAAUUCCAGCUCCAAUAGCGUAUAUUAAAGUUGUUGCAGUUAAAAAGCUCGUAGUUGAAUUUCGAGAUCAAUUUGUCGGUCGUGCCUCGGUAUGUACUGGCAUUAUUGAUUUCUCCCUUCUGAAGAACCGCGAUGUCAUUAAUUUGGUGUCGUGGGGAAUCAGGACUGUUACUUUGAAAAAAUUAGAGUGUUUAAAGCAGGCGCACGCUUGAAUACAUUAGCAUGGAAUAAUGAAAUAGGACGUUUGAUUCUAUUUUGUUGGUUUCUAGGAUCGACGUAAUGAUUAAUAGGGAUAGUUGGGGCAUUAGUAUUCAAUUGUCAGAGGUGAAAUUCUUGGAUUUAUUGAAGACUAACUACUGCGAAAGCAUUUGCCAAGGAUGUUUUCAUUAAUCAAGAACGAAAGUUAGGGGAUCGAAGACGAUCAGAUACCGUCGUAGUCUUAACCAUAAACUAUGCCGACUAGGGAUCGGAUGACGUUAAUUUUUUAAUGACUCAUUCGGCGCCUUACGGGAAAC
rnacentral:rRNA from 1 species